ACAAGACCAACAGAACGGAAUCGCCGAAUCGGUGAUGACGGGAGAGCAGUGAAUCCCAGUGAUGUUGAGUUUAAAAAAGAAAAAUAAUUUUGGAAACUUUUUCGGUGAGCUUGAGAGGAUGGAUGCACAAAACAGAUUUGCUAUGAUUUUCCCUGGAUUUAUAGACGACGAAAUUCCCCGCUCACCGACCAACAUCGAUUCCAGACGCAUUUGCAGAGAUUUCAAGUUAAGAGAAAGCGAUCGCAUGCCUGCAGAUGGUAAACCAAAAAUCCACAGUUAUUCUCAUAAAAAUUGGAAGAGAAACAGCCUGAUCAUGGGCGAUCGAUGAGGAAAAUAUACAUGGGGAGAUGAAGCAUCGGUCAUUUGUUUUUAUUUUGAAAGAAAUCUAUGAUUUGGUCGUCGUUCUUAUCCUUCAAAUUGUCAACAUAUCUGUUUUCCUUUUUUUGGAUAGGUUUCCGCAGUUUAUGUCGUAGUUUCGAUCAUCCUCUUCAGUUUUGAGUACUACUCGAACUCCGUAUGAUAUUAUUCUGCCC
rnacentral:lncRNA from 1 species